rnacentral:rRNA from 1 species
UACGGAGGGGGCGAGCGUUAUUCGGAAUUAUUGGGCGUAAAGGGCGCGUAGGCGGCUUGUCAAGUCAAAGGUGAAAUCCCUCGGCUCAACUGAGGAACUGCCUUUGAAACUGUCUGGCUUGAGGCCGGGAGGGGGUAGCGGAAUUCCCAGUGUAGCGGUGAAAUGCGUAGAUAUUGGGAGGAACACCAGUGGCGAAGGCGGCUACCUGGACCGGUUCUGACGCUGAUGCGCGAAAGCGUGGGUAGCAAACAGG